UACGUAGGGUGCAAGCGUUGUCCGGAAUUAUUGGGCGUAAAGAGCUCGUAGGCGGUGUGUCGCGUCGGCCGUGAAAACCUGCAGCUUAACUGUGGGCUUGCGGUCGAUACGGGCAGACUGGAGUACUGCAGGGGAGACUGGAAUUCCUGGUGUAGCGGUGGAAUGCGCAGAUAUCAGGAGGAACACCGGUGGCGAAGGCGGGUCUCUGGGCAGUAACUGACGCUGAGGAGCGAAAGCGUGGGGAGCGAACAGG
rnacentral:rRNA from 1 species